GACGAACGCUGGCGGCGUGCUUAACACAUGCAAGUCGAACGGACAGACAGAGAGCUUGCUCUCUUGAAGUUAGUGGCGAACGGGUGAGUAACGCGUAAUCAACCUGCCCUUCAGAGGGGGAUAACAACGGGAACCCGUUGCUAAUACCGCGUACGAUUGAUGAACGGCAGCGGUUAUGAAUGAAAGGUGGCCUCUCUGUAUCAGCUAUCGCGGAAGGAGGGUGUGGCGUCUGAUUAGCUAGGUGGAGGGGUAACGGCCCACCAAGGCAAUGAUCAGUAGCCGGUCUGAGAGGAUGAACGGCCACAUUGGGACUGAGACACGGCCCAAACUCCUACGGGAGGCAGCAGUGGGGAAUCUUCCGCAAUGGACGAAAGUCUGACGGAGCAACGCCGCGUGAGUGAUGAAGGUCUUCGGAUUGUAAAGCUCUGUUAAUCGGGACGAAAGAGUUCUGCGUGAAUAAUGCAGAAAAGUGACGGUACCGGAAUAGAAAGCCACGGCUAACAACGUGCCAGCCGCCGCAGUAA
rnacentral:rRNA from 1 species